CCUAAGUGAACAUGCAGAAAACA
rnacentral:siRNA from 1 species